AUGUUUUGCAUCUUAACAUCUUCCAUUGCAUUGAUUCCUGAGAUAAUGUUGCUAAUAAUUCUGCAUGAACAUAUACUAUGCCUAGUUAUGCAUAGGGCACUCCUAAUGCAUCAUAUCUUAAGUUAUAUUACAUCCGUACCAAAAUAUAAGACAUUUUUAAAGGCUAAACUACCCUACAAAAACGUACAUUUUGAUAUGGAGCUUGUAUCAUCAUAUACAUUAAAUAUGUGUUUAGAUACAACUUCCCUGAUGGUUUUUAUCUUAGUGUUGUAUCUAGAAGUGCUCUCAUUUAAUAUGUUUUGUUAG
rnacentral:rRNA from 1 species